CCUGGAAACAGAUGCUAAUACCGGAUAAUAACAGAUGAUGCCUAUCAACUGUUUAAAAGAUGGUUCUGCUAUCACUCUUGGAUGGACCUGCGGUGCGUUAGCUAGUUGGUAGGGUAACGGCCUACCAAGGCGAUGAUGCAUAGCCGAGUUGAGAGACUGAUCGGCCACAUUGGGACUGAGACACGGCCCAAACUCCUACGGGAGGCAGCAGUC
rnacentral:rRNA from 1 species